rnacentral:lncRNA from 10 species
UGAGGUCAGGAGUUCGAGAGCAGCCUGGCCAACAUGGUAAAACCCCGUCUCUGCUAAAAAUACAAAAAUUAGCCAGGCACGGUAGUGCGGACCUAUAAUCCCAGCUACUUGGGAGGCUGAGGCAGGAGAAUCAUUUGAACCCGGUGGAGGUUGCAGUGAGCCAAGAUGGUGCCACUGCACUCCAGCCUGGGGGACAAGAGCAAAACUCCAUCUCAAAAAACAAACAAACAAACAAACAAAGUGUUAUACUAAAGCUGGUCUUUUUAAGUUUGUGCAGUGAAUUCAGUGCCUAAGCUUUAACAGGUUACCAAGCAGCUUUGUUACAUUAAAUUGAAUCAUCAGCCACCAAAUUUAUAUCAGGUUUCAGAUGCUGGCCAUAUGAAAGGGGAAAAUUCUUAAGUAUGUUUGGCUUUUUUGUUGUUGUUGUUCAUUCAACAAAUAUUUACUGAGAAUAUCCUAAUGCCAGAAAACGUGCUAGAAGUGAUUUAAAACUUGAGUAAAUCAAUAUCUGCUUAGGAAGAUUGAUAUAGGUUAGAUUUUAGAUCCCAUUAACUUGUUUCAGAAAAUAAAAAUGCAAACUGAUUUGGUAAACUUUGGAGUUAUAAGGUAAAAUAUUAUUAAAAUGAUUUUGAAAAUAAUUUGCCAUUAUUUUGGCCAUUUAAAU